rnacentral:rRNA from 1 species
GAUGAACGCUGGCGGCGUGCUUAACACAUGCAAGUCGAACGGAAAGGCUCCUGCUUGCCGGGGUCCUCGAGUGGCGAACGGGUGAGUAACACGUGGGUGAUCUGCCCUGCACUUCGGGAUAAGCCUGGGAAACUGGGUCUAAUACCGGAUAGGACGAUGGUUUGGAUGCCAUUGUGGAAAGUUUUUCGGUGUGGGAUGAGCUCGCGGCCUAUCAGCUUGUUGGUGGGGUAAUGGCCUACCAAGGCGUCGACGGGUAGCCGGCCUGAGAGGGUGUACGGCCACAUUGGGACUGAGAUACGGCCCAGACUCCUACGGGAGGCAGCAGUGGGGAAUAUUGCACAAUGGGCGCAAGCCUGAUGCAGCGACGCCGCGUGGGGGAUGACGGCCUUCGGGUUGUAAACUCCUUUCGCUAGGGACGAAGCGAAAGUGACGGUACCUGGAGAAGAAGCACCGGCUAACUACGUG